rnacentral:rRNA from 1 species
UACGUAGGGUGCAAGCGUUGUCCGGAAUUAUUGGGCGUAAAGAGCUCGUAGGCGGUUCGUCGCGUCGGCUGUGAAAUCCCGAGGCUCAACCUCGGGUCUGCAGUCGAUACGGGCAGACUGGAGUUCGGCAGGGGAGACUGGAAUUCCUGGUGUAGCGGUGAAAUGCGCAGAUAUCAGGAGGAACACCGGUGGCGAAGGCGGGUCUCUGGGCCGAUACUGACGCUGAGGAGCGAAAGCGUGGGGAGCGAACAGG